AACGAACGCUGGCGGCAGGCUUAACACAUGCAAGUCGAACGCCCCGCAAGGGGAGUGGCAGACGGGUGAGUAACGCGUGGGAACGUGCCCUUCGCUUCGGAAUAGCCCCGGGAAACUGGGAGUAAUACCGAAUACGCCGUAGUGGGAAAGAUUUAUCGGCGAAGGAUCGGCCCGCGUUAGAUUAGCUAGUUGGCGGUGUAAUGGACCACCAAGGCUACGAUCUAUAGCUGGUCUGAGAGGAUGAUCAGCCACACUGGGACGGAGACACGGCCCAGACUCCUACGGGAGGCAGCAGUGGGGAAUCUUGGACAAUGGGCGCAAGCCUGAUCCAGCCAUGCCGCGUGAAUGAUGAAGGCCUUAGGGUUGUAAAAUUCUUUCGCCGGAGAAGAUAAUGACGGUAUCCGGAGAAGAAGCCCCGGCUAACUUCGUGCCAGCAGCCGCCGUAAAAC
rnacentral:rRNA from 1 species